rnacentral:rRNA from 1 species
CCUACGGGAGGCAGCAGUGGGGAAUAUUGCACAAUGGGGGAAACCCUGAUGCAGCGACUCCGCGUGAGUGAAGAAGUAUUUCGGUACGUAAAGCUCUAUCAGCAGGGAAGAAAAUGACGGUACCUGAAUAAGAAGCCCCGGCUAACUACGUGCCAGCAGCCGCGGUAAUACGUAGGGGGCAAGCGUUAUCCGGAUUUACUGGGUGGAAAGGGAGCGUAGACGGCAGCGCAAGUCUGGAGUGAAAUCCCUUGGCUUAACCAUGGAACUGCUUUGGAAACUGUGCAGCUGGAGUGCAGGAGAGGUAAGCGGAAUUCCUAGUGUAGCGGUGAAAUGCGUAGAUAUUAGGAGGAACACCAGUGGCGAAGGCGGCUUACUGGACUGUAACUGACGUUGAGGCUCGAAAGCGUGGGGAGCAAACAGGAUUAGAUACCCUAGUAGUC